ensembl:snoRNA
GAUCAACGAUGAAAAUAGCCAAAUCUGAGCAUCAGAAGACUUUCCAGUCUACCUGAUGCAUGACCUCCACAGUUCUGAGA